rnacentral:tRNA from 1 species
GGCUUGUGUCUCAGUGGUAGAGCGCUCACCUGGCAUGCGUGAGGCACUGGAUUCAAUUCUCAGCACCA